rnacentral:rRNA from 1 species
UACCCGCUGGAAUUAAGCAUAUCAAUAAGCGGAGGAAAAGAAACCAACCGGGAUUACCUCAGUAACGGCGAGUGAAGCGGUAACAGCUCAAAUUUGAAAUCUGGCUCCUUCGGAGUCCGAGUUGUAAUUUGUAGAAGAUGCUUUGGGUUGUGGGCUCGGCCUAAGUUCCUUGGAACAGGACGUCAUAGAGGGUGAGAAUCCCGUAUGUGGCCAUGGCCCGCGCCUAUGUAAAGCUCUUUCGACGAGUCGAGUUGUUUGGGAAUGCAGCUCAAAAUGGGUGGUAAAUUUCAUCUAAAGCUAAAUAUGGGCCAGAGACCGAUAGCGCACAAGUAGAGUGAUCGAAAGAUGAAAAGCACUUUGGAAAGAGAGUUAAACAGUACGUGAAAUUGUUGAAAGGGAAGCGCUUGCAACCAGACUUGGGCGCUGCCGAUCACCCCGAGUUCUCUCGGGUGCACUCGACAGCGCACAGGCCAGCAUCGGUUCGGGUGGCUGGAUAAAGGCCGUAGGAAUGUAGCUCUCUUCGGGGAGUGUUAUAGCCCACGGUGCCAUGCAGCCCAGCCGGACCGAGGACCGCGCCUUCGGGCUAGGAUGCUGGCGUAAUGGUUGUAAGCGACCCGUCUUGAAACACGGACCAAGGA